CAUAGGUUAAUGAGGCGAACCGGGGGAACUGAAACAUCUAAGUACCCCGAGGAAAAGAAAUCAACCGAGAUUCCCCCAGUAGCGGCGAGCGAACGGGGAGCAGCCCAGAGCCUGAAUCAGUGAGUGUGUUAGUGGAAGCGUCUGGAAAGGCGCGCGAUACAGGGUGACAGCCCCGUACACAAAAAUGCACAUGCUGUGAGCUCGAUGAGUAGGGCGGGACACGUGGUAUCCUGUCUGAAUAUGGGGGGACCAUCCUCCAAGGCUAAAUACUCCUGACUGACCGAUAGUGAACCAGUACCGUGAGGGAAAGGCGAAAAGAACCCCGGCGAGGGGAGUGAAAAAGAACCUGAAACCGUGUACGUACAAGCAGUGGGAGCACGCUUCGGCGUGUGACUGCGUACCUUUUGUAUAAUGGGUCAGCGACUUAUAUUCUGUAGCAAGGUUAACCGAAUAGGGGAGCCGAAGGGAAACCGAGUCUUAACUGGGCGUUAAGUUGCAGGGUAUAGACCCGAAACCCGGUGAUCUAGCCAUGGGCAGGUUGAAGGUUGGGUAACACUAACUGGAGGACCGAACCGACUAAUGUUGAAAAAUUAGCGGAUGACUUGUGGCUGGGGGUGAAAGGCCAAUCAAACCGGGAGAUAGCUGGUUCUCCCCGAAAGCUAUUUAGGUAGCGCCUCGUGAAUUCAUCUCCGGGGGUAGAGCACUGUUUCGGCAAGGGGGUCAUCCCGACUUACCAACCCGAUGCAAACUGCGAAUACCGGAGAAUGUUAUCACGGGAGACACACGGCGGGUGCUAACGUCCGUCGUGAAGAGGGAAACAACCCAGACCGCCAGCUAAGGUCCCAAAGUCAUGGUUAAGUGGGAAACGAUGUGGGAAGGCCCAGACAGCCAGGAUGUUGGCUUAGAAGCAGCCAUCAUUUAAAGAAAGCGUAAUAGCUCACUGGUCGAGUCGGCCUGCGCGGAAGAUGUAACGGGGCUAAACCAUGCACCGAAGCUGCGGCAGCGACGCUUAUGCGUUGUUGGGUAGGGGAGCGUUCUGUAAGCCUGUGAAGGUGUGCUGUGAGGCAUGCUGGAGGUAUCAGAAGUGCGAAUGCUGACAUAAGUAACGAUAAAGCGGGUGAAAAGCCCGCUCGCCGGAAGACCAAGGGUUCCUGUCCAACGUUAAUCGGGGCAGGGUGAGUCGACCCCUAAGGCGAGGCCGAAAGGCGUAGUCGAUGGGAAACAGGUUAAUAUUCCUGUACUUGGUGUUACUGCGAAGGGGGGACGGAGAAGGCUAUGUUGGCCGGGCGACGGUUGUCCCGGUUUAAGCGUGUAGGCUGGUUUUCCAGGCAAAUCCGGAAAAUCAAGGCUGAGGCGUGAUGACGAGGCACUACGGUGCUGAAGCAACAAAUGCCCUGCUUCCAGGAAAAGCCUCUAAGCAUCAGGUAACAUCAAAUCGUACCCCAAACCGACACAGGUGGUCAGGUAGAGAAUACCAAGGCGCUUGAGAGAACUCGGGUGAAGGAACUAGGCAAAAUGGUGCCGUAACUUCGGGAGAAGGCACGCUGAUAUGUAGGUGAAGUCCCUCGCGGAUGGAGCUGAAAUCAGUCGAAGAUACCAGCUGGCUGCAACUGUUUAUUAAAAACACAGCACUGUGCAAACACGAAAGUGGACGUAUACGGUGUGACGCCUGCCCGGUGCCGGAAGGUUAAUUGAUGGGGUUAGCGGUAA
rnacentral:rRNA from 1 species